GAUGAACGCUAGCGGGAGGCUUAACACAUGCAAGUCGAGGGGUAAAUGGUAGCAAUACUAUGGAGACCGGCGGACGGGUGCGUAACGCGUAUGCAACAUACCUUUAGCAGGGGGAUAGCCCGUGGAAACGCGGAUUAAUAUUCCAUAGUCCAGCAGUAUCGCAUGGUAUCACUGGUAAAGAUUAAUCGGCUAAAGAUUGGCAUGCGUCUGAUUAGUUAGUUGGCGGGGUAAAGGCCCACCAAGGCGAUGAUAGAUAGGCGGCCUUAACGGGUGGUCGCCCACACUGGGAUUGAGAUACGGCCCAGACUCCUACGGGAGGCAGCAGUCGAGAAUAGUCUACAAUGGUCGGAAGACUGAUAGUGCGACGCCGCGUGAACGAUGAAUCCCUUCGGGGUGUAAAGUUCUUUUAUAUGUGAGCAGUGCUUCUUAUAUUAACAGUAUGGGGAGAGAGAUAUUAGCAUAUGAAUAAGCAACGGCUAACUCCGUG
rnacentral:rRNA from 1 species